CGGCGGACGGGUGAGUAACGCGUGGGUAACCUGCCUCAUACAGGGGGAUAACAGUUAGAAAUGGCUGCUAAUACCGCAUAAGACCACAGCACCGCAUGGUGCAGGGGUAAAAACUCCGGUGGUAUGAGAUGGACCCGCGUCUGAUUAGCUGGUUGGUGGGGUAACGGCCUACCAAGGCGACGAUCAGUAGCCGACCUGAGAGGGUGACCGGCCACGUUGGGACUGAGACACGGCCCAA
rnacentral:rRNA from 1 species